CGUAGCUCAACGGUGAGAGCAGCGCCCUUAUAAGGCGCAGGUCGUGGGUUCAAUUCCCACCG
rnacentral:tRNA from 1 species